UUACGGAGAGUUUGAUCCUGGCUCAGGAUGAACGCUGGCGGCGUGCUUAAGACAUGCAAGUCGAACGGAGAAUUUGUAGCAAUACGAAUUCUUAGUGGCGAAUGGGUGAGUAACACGUAGGUGACCUGCCCCGAAGUGUGGAAUAACAGUCCGAAAGGAUUGCUAAUACCGCAUGUGGUUCUAGUCUUUAGAAAGCUAGAUCUAAAGCAGAAAUGCGCUUCGGGAGGGGCCUGCGGUCCAUCAGCUAGUUGGUAGGGUAACGGCCUACCAAGGCGACGACGGAUAGGGGACCUGAGAGGGUGGCCCCCCACAUUGGCACUGAAACACGGGCCAAACUCCUACGGGAGGCAGCAGUCGGGAAUAUUGGUCAAUGGGCGAAAGCCUGAACCAGCAACGCCGCGUGCACGAUGAAGGCCUUCGGGUCGUAAAGUGCUUUUUAGAGGGAUGAGGAAGGACAGUACCUCUAGAAUAAGUCACGGCUAACUACGUGCCAGCAGCCGCGGUAAAACGUAGGUGACAAGCGUUAUCCGGAAUUACUGGGCGUAAAGCGCGUGCAGGCGGCUUCGCAAGUCGGGCAUGAAAUCUCUCGGCCUAACCGAGAGACGCUGUUCGAUACUGCGGAGCUUGAGGGCAGUAAAAGGUGGCGGAAUUCCGCAUGUAGUGGUGAAAUGCGUAGAGAUGCGGAGGAACACCAGUGGCGAAGGCGGCCACCUGGGCUGUCCCUGACGCUGAAGCGCGAAAGCUAGGGUAGCGAACGGGAUUAGAAACCCCGGUAGUCCUAGCCGUAAACGAUGUUAACUAGGUGUCGGCGAUUAAAAACCGUCGGUGCCGAAGCCAACGCGUUAAGUUAACCGCCUGGGGACUACGGCCGCAAGGUUAAAACUCAAAGGAAUUGACGGGAACCCGCACAAGCAGCGGAGCGUGUGGUUUAAUUCGAGGCUACGCGAAGAACCUUACCAGGGUUUGACAUGUACGUAGUAGUGAAGCGAAAGCGGAACGACCCUUCGGGGAGCGUACACAGGUGAUGCAUGGCUGUCGUCAGCUCGUGCCGUGAGGUGUUUGGUUAAGUCCACUAACGAGCGCAACCCUUAGAGCCAGUUACAAGUGUCUGGCUCGACUGCCGGUCUUAAGCCGGAGGAAGGUGGGGAUGACGUCAAGUCAGCAUGUCCCUUAUAUCCUGGGCUACACACACGCUACAAUGGUCGGUACAGUAGGGUGCUAAGCCGCGAGGCGGAGCCAAUCCUCAAAAUCGAUCUCAGUUCGGAUCGUAGGCUGCAACUCGCCUACGUGAAGUCGGAGUUGCUAGUAACCGCAGGACAGCUAUACUGCGGUGAAUACGUUCCCGGGUUUUGUACACACCGCCCGUCACGUCAUGGGAGCUGGUAACACCUGAAGCCGGUAGGCUAACCGUAAGGAGGCAGCCGUCUAAGGUGGGGCUGGUGACUGGGACGAAGUCGUAACAAGGUAGGUGUACCGGAAGGUGCGCCUGGAUCACCUCCUUUCU
rnacentral:rRNA from 1 species